CUCGUAUUUUUCUCAAAGUAGGAUUCAAGAUAAGCCAUCAUCAUCAAAUUUGCUCUAUUUCCCUGCACUUGCUUUGCCUUUCAUCUCUUGCUCCAUUUCUUUGUAACAGAAGAAAUAAGAGCAUUGAAAGCAAAUCUAAGAUCUUCCCAAAGAAAGAAUGAUCCCAACAAAAUUAGGAAAAAGAAAAAAUAUCAAAUCGGGUUGAGGAUUGUCCACAGGGUGGUGUUCCUCUCUCGCGCCUGUGUCAAGCUUCUUCACCCUAUUUUCCCUUCACUUGGUUUUUUUUUUCUUCGUUUUGUGUCUUCUUUUUUACAUGAGGAUCGAAAAAUGAAAUCUGGAUUGUUGUCUUUUUAUUUUUAUUUUUACAUAUAUUUUAACAGUCAAAAAGCUAAAAGAUGGAGAUUGUUACACCACUUCAUAGUUGAAAGAACAUUUUCGAGAUUGCUACUGAAAUGAUCAAUGGUUGUCAAACAAGAAAAAAAAAAGAAAAUGAUUUUGAGAA